GCACCCCCGGCCCGGCCGGCGGCGUUCGCUCCCUCGGGAGAGCGGCCGCGGCCGUGCGGUGGUGGGCAGGGGUCGUUUCCUCCCGCGGUUCUCGGGAACCUGAAACACCCCCCAAAUCAUCUUCAUUUUUUUAGCAAUUCGCCGUCGCCCCGAGGUUUAAUUUCUCUCCAGUAGAUCGGAGGGACUGCAAGUGAGAGCCAACCGAAGCAUGUGAACCGUAUAAAUAUUUACAGCGAGGAGGGAGCCUGAGCCUGAACCAGAGCCUUACCACGCCUUACCAGCGUAGGUGCUGGUCUUGGAUUAGAAGCUCUAAAGAUUAGGAGUCAGAUGGCUGCAAGAGUAAGCUCCUAUCUUCAGAUCCCCAACGCUGAAUUUCCCCAGGGGAUUGCUGGCACAGGAAAGAAAUACCACAGCUGGCCAACCCUUGCACAAGAAGUACUGAGGAGUACGGUGAAAAAAGCCCACAAGGAGCAUGCAUUUGGCAGAGAGAAGGCUCCUGGUCUCGGUGGCAACAGCUGCUGCAAGGUUUGGAUGCCAACCUGAGCCUUACAGAAAGAUAUUUCCCCCUGCAGAGAUGCAAGAUACUUCAGCUAAUCUGGGUCUAAACUCAGAGAGAAAAAGAGAGAUGGCAUUUCAAACUUGCCCCUCUAAACCUGCAAUCUACCUGAACUCAAAAUCUUAAUGGAAAAAAGAACAGAAUUAAAAGGCAAUAAAAUUGGAAUUUAAAGACUAUUCAGGCACCUAGUCCUCAACAGAUAGCUGCUAGGUAUCCUUGCAGCUAACAGAAGUAGGCCUGGAGAGGAUUAAAAGAAAUAAUAAAGCAUGAGUAAUUGGAAUAAGCAAACACUAACUCUUUCCCCUGAUAUUUGCUUUAGUCAGAUUCAGCAUAUAGAAAUCAAGUGACGCGAGACCAUCCUCUGCUCACUCAUUCCACCCUCACAGUUCAGCACAUGGAGUUCACUAAUCUUAUCUGGGAACUUCUCCUAAAUGAAACAGAGAGAAUACCAGAAAAGGCAAAUAACUCAUUUCCCCACUGAAUGUGAUACUGUAAGAGUUUGCACUGAAAGCUGAACCUACCAGCAGGAUUCCCAAAGAAACUUCUCAUGGCUGUGCAACUGCACUCCAAGGGAAAGCAAGAGAGGCUGCAAACAGCUCCUGAAGGAGGGGCAUUUGAUUGGGAACCUCCUCAAGUCCCUCUCUCCCUCAAAUGCAUUUGGCAAAAUUGUGUUUAAUUCUGGAUUACUCUUUCUCACUGUUGCUGGAAAUCAAUGUUGCCUCAGUCAGUCUGAUGAAAACGUGCAGAUUAACAAUGCCUAAAAAAUACCAGGCGUGCGUUUGUGCUGCCAGAGGAUGUCUCACUGGCAGGUUGCACAGCUCCCCUGAACUGACCGAGGAUUACAAAAGAAUCACUUUCUGCUGAAAUAAAACCCUUUUUCAAACACAACAGCUAGUUAAUAACUAACUGCAAGAUGCACAGUCGUUUAGUACAGGAAAUAAGCUCAUACUUCAGUGGAAGUGCAGGAGGACAUUAGGUAAACAAAAUAGUAGGGCUGGGUCUUGGCCAAAAUAUUGGUACUCCAGGGGUACGCUGACAGCAAGCACUGCUGGGUUUUUCACUGUCCCUUCGCAUGGUUCACAGCCAACUCAUCCCCACCUCACCAAAAAUACUGCUUUUGUGUUUUCUGUGCAAUGUCUAUGCCAGAGAGGUCGACCCUGCUGCCCCCACAAAGCCACUUCCUGCAGUGGGCGGCCACGUCUGUGUAGCUUCUGCUGGCCCGUCAGAUUGUAACAGAGCUGGCCUUGGACCAUACAUGUGGACCUGAGAACAAAUGUCCAUCAGCAAAAACAGCUGGACAGGUGAGAGCAUUUGCAGUGGGGCUCCUGCAGGCAGGAGGGCCUGUCCCACUCACUCAACUCAAGGCAGACACUGUCACAGCAGCGUGGAAGUUGUAGCUGCGUUGCAGUUUUUUUUCUUGGCCCUUUCACAGCAGAAGUGUUGCCCUCUGAAAAUCGCUCAGGGCUUUUAAUCCUUUGGUAAAUUCACAGAAGUUCUGUGCUGUUUUGUGCUUGUUCAGUAAAGGAAAAUCUAAACUUAUCCUUGUCUUCUCUGGCUGUAAAACUCAAUGUUGCUGUCUUGCUUUCUUUCCUAGUUAUGGCCUUGUCACUUAAGCAUCAGGUCCCACAAUGAUUAAUAUUUUACUUGGCAAACUGAUGCAAACUCAUGGACAUUACUGUCCUCCCAGGCAACUGGUACAUCUGGGGUUUUCCAGAAUGGAAACAAAAGGAUGCUGUCAAAAGCCAACCUACAUUCUCUGGGAAUAAUAUAGUACAUUUUAAAAAUUACUGUGAGCUUAACUCAUGGCAGUUGUGUAAUUUCUGGAUCACCUUUUCUACAAUCAGAACCGCAGCUGUAAAUUUUGGGAUGUCUGUUUUGAAUUAGAAAGAUAAAAGGACUAUAAAAGUGAGAAGCUCAUUUCAACAGGUCUUUUCUUCCUCAGAAUCCUUGGAUUUUAUUUUCUUGGGUUUUAUUUUUUUUUCUUUAUUUUCUUGAAGAAACUAAGCAGAGUAUUUGGAGGAAAGGUUCAUUUUUGAAAAGAGAGGAGGUUAAGGGAUGUAAAGCAAAUGGAAGGGCUUUUGUGGUAGAGGACGCUGCAGUGGAUGUUUGCUGAGACUGCUUUUAUUCAACAUCUUCACGCAAAACCCGCAGAAGGGAAUGUGCACAAAGUCUCAAGGUCUGUGGAUAUUCCUGACCUCCUUAGGGCAGUCAAAUACCAUGCCAAUGACAAUGAAGUCCUGCAGGAUCUCAAAAAACUGAACAAAAGGCACAAUAUUGGCAUAGGAGCUUUAGUGUGGAUAAACCUCUAAGUGGUAACGCACUUGGAGGAAAACAAUCCAAACCAAAGCUCUUUGAUGCUGACACUGGAACUGGCUGUCCUGGCCCAAGAAAGAGAUCCUGAAGUCGCUAUUAACAGUUGUCUGAGAUCAUCGGCCCAGCGUGCCUCUGCAGCCAACAAAACACUGGGCAGCAGCAGGAAGGUUGUUGAGGGAAAAAGACAUCAUUUUGUUGCUCUGUGUAUCCUCAGCAUGCCACAAACUGAGUCCAGUUUCCACGCUCGGUCUCUCACAGUGAAUAGGAAUAUACCGUUAAUUAUUGGUGCAGAGGAUGGAAUUAAAACAUGAUUUGUGGAGAGUCUGUGUAGAUGCAACAUGUUGUAGCUGCCUCCAGCCCUACAAAAUGGCAAUGAGAAAUGUGUGUGCUUUGACAUCCUUGAGUAAGAAGUUGUGGUUCUUUCUGAAACAGAGACAUUAGAUCGAAGUCUUUGGUACCAUCUCCUGAUUUCGUGGCUUACAGGUAGGUACAGAUACUCCCUUUGUCCUUCUAAAGAUUUUCCAAGUACAGUGUUGUAUCGCUAUCAGGGGGUUGGCUCAGGGUUUACAAAUGCAGGAUGACAUUUUAUGAGUCACAUCCUAACGCUUUAGGAUAACCCCAGGACUUGAUUUAGGGUUAUUAACAGGCCAAGAGGUUUAUUUAAAAUGCCUGUUUGUCUUUCCCUAGAGGGGACUUACAUUGCCUCCCCGUGCAGCAAACUUAAACACCUAUUUAUUGUUUAAACCCACUGGCAUUAAAAGUCUCUUCUAUUAAAUGGCAUUCUACUGCCAAAAUUUAUCUGCAAAGCAACAGAAUCACAACCCCUAAAAAGUAAUUUAACCCGCACAGCUGUUGGACCCAAGAAUGAGAUUGAAAAAGCAAGAUCACACUGUUUGAAAAGAGCAACAGAUUUAAUUACUUCAGUGAAAGUCUGCGCUGACCAUUGUUUUGGUACCCGAGCCUUGAGCAAGAGCCUCAGCGGUGAACAGACAGUGCGUCUUGACCGUGUCAUAUCCAUGUCUGGUGAUAUUUGCCAGUUGUAGAAAUGAAUUUGAGAAAAGUUAUGCAGUCAGUUACCUUAUAAUUCAUUUUGCUGCCUUUCUGUUGCCAGCUGACUUGACUGAAUGGAACAAACGUUGCAGUUACUGAGCAGACCCUUGCAGUACGCUGAAUUUUGAAUGCUUCACACAUUAAAGUUGUAAUUUCUGGGACACUCAGAAAGCUCCUUUUUCUUUUGCACAGGCUUCUCCCAGAGAGCAGAAGGCACUUUUUUUUUCGGCAUAAAUGUGCCACGCAUUAAGGCCACAGCAAAAGAAAACUGCAGUCUGCAUAACAAAAAGGAUGCAGAGCAGAGUGGAUUAAGGGCAGUGCAGUAUCAAAUUGGACAGGAGAGAUUGUUCAGUCUUCAGCUGGGAAAAACAUAACAAGACACAUGAUCCCUAUGUGCUUAUGUGAGACCUUCAGCUUCUGUGUAUCAAAGGAAACAGACAUUGCUUGAGAAGCCUGAUAAAUCCUUUCUUACCAGUCCAAACUGUACAUGGGAAAGGUGGACUGCAUCCUGCUUUGCUACAGUCAUGUAAACCUACUGUGAUUUUAUUGACUUCUGUGACCAUACUGUUAAAUACUCCCUUCUAUUUAUUCUAAUUGCAUAUCUAAUUAAACAGUUCACAAAGAGGGGUGUGGAGGAACAUUAGACCAUUAGCAGGACUCAUGGCACAAGUGUGUGUUGCUUUCUGUCCAGUACUGUGGGAUCUCACAAACAAUUCAGAAAGAAAAACCACAGAUGGUUGCUGGAGCACGUAACACCUUCAACUCUGAGGAGCAAGAGUUUUGGCUAAUAGAACUGCCUAGUGCCAGACGCUUCUGAAUAGACACUUUGUACAUCUUAUACUUGGCUCUGGUAAGGUGUAUAAUGAAAUACAACACACCAUUUUGUCACUUGAUUUAGCCCUUUUUGCUACCACAUAGUGCUGUUACAUGAUAAAUCUUCUAGCUUAUGCUCUCCUCCCAUCUGCCACCUUUUAUUUUUCCUCAUUUUUCCUCUUCUUCUUUCUUUAUUUAUAUGUUUAUUAGUGUUUAUGCAGCUGAUCUCUGCAUUAGUCUCAGCAUUAGGCAGCUUGGAAAUCAUCGUACCUAGAAACGCACCACACACUGCUGGCAGUGCAGCUACAGAAAACAAGCAGUUGAGAGCUUCAAACAGCAGUCCCUGGUACCCAUCCUAAAUUAAUCAUGGUUCUAGGAAAAUGAUUAUUCACCUGACAGUGCAGAGAAGCUGCUCAUCCAUGCAGGAAAACUGGAGCAGACAAGUCUGGGUGCAGAAAGCAAUUAAGGGAACAGGUAUCUAACCCUGCUGGGCUGAAUGUGUGUCAGCAACAAGGAAAAGGCAUUUAGUCUUUUCAGUAGGUCUGCAUGAAAUAGAGAUGUUGAUCACCAAUAAACUCAGCCUGCUGGCAGUGGUGUUGGACAUCCCCUCUCUGCCCACAUGCAGACAGGAGACUGUACUCCUCUGUCUAAUCCAGCCAGGGCUCAGGGUGGGUUUUGUCAGCCUCGAAGCUUCAGGACUUGAAACAAAAGCCAGCUGACAAAGUUUCUUUGCAACACCAAUGUUUAGUUUCAUGCCUAUGUUCUUAUCCUUCCUGCUAUUAUACAAUAUUUUUCAAUUUGUUGGACUGAGCAACUGAUACAGUUGCUGAUGCAGUGAUACAGCACUGAACUCAUGUUUCCAUGUCUUUAGCAGUGUUGCUCUGAAAGGAAAAUCCCAGUCUAACUGCUGCACAACUGCACAAAGUUUUUACAGACCCCAGCAGCGCCACAACUGCAACAGUAUGGUGACUUUAGCAAGGCCUGCAGUCAGCUCUGAAGCCAGCUGUUGGGGAACUGGCAAUACAACUCCUGGACUCAAAGUGCACGAGUCUCUGUGCAUGAAAAGCUGCUCAGUCCCUAACACACUUAUGCAGCACUUCUAGAUGCCUGGACUCAGCCAGCCAGCACUGCUGCUGAAACCCCCUAAAUAUAUGGCUGCAGAGAAAGCUCCUAAACCAGCACUGCCCUCGUGGAGGCCCCACUGCACAGCAUCUCUUUCCUCCCAGCAGAGCAGCGUGUGACUGCAGUGCUGGCCUCCACCACAUCAUUAGCCUUCAGGUUAACAAUGCUCAGCCUCUCCUCUUUAAGGAUGCUGACUCUAGAAGCACUCAAAUAUUUGACAUUUAGACUCAUGAGUCACACUCAGUUACUCAAGAAUUGGUAUUUUAAUUUGUUCACCUUCCCAAGAACCACUUACAUGUUGAGGAACAGAAAGUUUUACUCUGGGGGAGGAAUUCUUCACUGUUUUCAAGAGGAUUUGUACCACGUUUCCAAUAGGAGUUUCAAUGUAAGGUCAAAAUUGCACAUGUGCAGAAUUUUUUAAAUGGUUAAAACUUUGUAGAAAGGUAACCAACUCACUUCAUACUCCAGAGAUUAUGUGAGGAAAGCACAGAAGAAAUUUCAGAAAACACCGGGACAGGCAAGCACUCAGCCCAUCAGAACAUGGUACCCUAUUAUGGUACUAAGGGAAAAAAUGAAGUGUGCUCUGUGAUGCUCAUCGAGACUGCUGGCAAGUUUGUUUACUCAAAUCCAAGUAUCUCUUCUCAUUAUCAUGUUCAAACAGCUCACAUACAUAAUGAGAACUUUUAGGUACAGUACAGGAAAUUGUACAUACCUCAAAAUAACAUCUGACCACUUCAAAUCAACAUUCAAAAAUGUGACACCCAAAACAAAAGUCACCAGGAUGUAAGUCAACACAGACUCAGCUUCUACAACUUUGCUUCCCAGGAAUAAAAACUUCCCAUGGGGCCCACUUCCUUGAUGCCCAAACUCCAGGAAAUAGUUUUGACUCGGGAGACUCAUCUGAAACUACAAGACUUCAUCUCUCAGACCAUUAAUGCAGUUUUUCAGUGAACUUCUAUUCCUUCGGAUGCAGCCAGGCUUUGCUGCUGACAGAAAAAGGAGCCUCAAAAGGAAAACCCACCCCAGACACGGGUUUAUGACUACAGCAGCACUGGUGUACAGCACUACUCAGUGUAACUCCAUUGAAAGAAUGGACACCCAUGAGAACACAGACAUUACAGCCUCGAGAUUAAGAUGAGCUCAAAUGUGUAUUUGACAAAAAUACAGAAAUAUUCAGUGUCAUAAUAAUACAGAAGUUACUUUGCUUUGGAUAAAAGCAAGGUAUUCAAUAAUUUAAGGUUAAAACAACUCUCCAUAUGCAUUGGUACUUGGCCAAGUAAAAAAAAUAUCCAGUACCUUUACACUCAAGACAGGCAGAAAAGACAAACUAACAUAUUUGACUGCAACUUCAAGUAGAGGUGCCCCUACUACAAUACUCCACCUACAAAUCCUUUCUCUACCUAUGCCACCUUUUCUACUUUUUGAGCCUUCUGUUCAGACCAGCUGGCCAAGACCUCAGCCUCUGAAAGCUUCACAUCGAGAAUAUGCAAAACAUCAUCCUCAGUAUUAACCAGUCAUACCAACAACCCUUAAAAAAAAAAGACAAAACCUUUACUGCUCCAAUCGUCUGAAGAACCCUUAAGGGUGCAGGUUAAAAUGUCAGCUUCUUAGCAAGGCCUUUCAUCCAGCCCUGAGGUAGUUUCUGUCCCAGGACAUCAAGUGCUCAGUCUUGCAAAGGCCGCAGUUAAACAGACUGGGUUUAUUAAAAAACUGCAUUCUGCCACCCCA